GUGGCUCAUUGGUAGAGUGCUUGCCUUGCAUGCAUGAGGUCCUGGGUUCAAUUCCUCAGC
rnacentral:tRNA from 1 species